rnacentral:rRNA from 1 species
GACAGAGGGUGCAAACGUUGUUCGGAAUUACUGGGCGUAAAGCGCGUGUAGGCGGCCCUGCAAGUCGGGUGUGAAAUCCCACGGCUCAACCGUGGAAGUGCACUCGAAACUGCAGGGCUAGAGUCCUGGAGAGGAAGGUGGAAUUCCUGGUGGUAGCGGUGAAAUGCGCAGAUAUCAGGAGGAACACCGGUGGCGAAGGCGGUUCUCUGGGCAUGUCCUGACGCUGAGGAGCGAAAGUGUGGGGAGCAAACAGG